GCGACUUUCUUUUGUUCAUCACUACACUAAACAUAUCACACUCAUCAUCAAGACUUGGGAAAUCAUACAUUCCCGCCUUCAAUGCAUUCAAUAACCAAAUGAUCUUUAUCAUGAAAAUUAGUUCAAAGAGCAAAGAACAUGAAAAGCGAGAAAGUAACGAGGAAGGCGAAGAUCAGAAACGAUGUAGUUUGUGCAGCUUCUGUGCAUUUGUCAUAAAUGAGAAAGGAAGAUGUUGGGAGCUUGCUAAUAAGAUGACUGGAAGGAGCAGAACGUUGGAUCCAGAGAUUGGUUAUGCGAGCCUUCAACCUUCAUCCUUCAUUCUACAUUUUUUCACCUUAGAUUCAACCUUGGUAUUGGAAUGCCAUAAAGUUUUUUCACCUUAUGAAA